rnacentral:rRNA from 1 species
GAUGAACGCUGGCGGCGUGCCUAAUACAUGCCAGUCGAGCGAACAGACGAGGAGCUUGCUCCUCUGACGUUAGCGGCGGACGGGUGAGUAACACGUGGAUAACCUACCUAUAAGACUGGGAUAACUUCGGGAAACCGGAGCUAAUACCGGAUAAUAUAUUGAACCGCAUGGAUCAAUAGUGAAAGACGGUUUUGCUGUCACUUAUAGAUGGAUCCGCGCCGCAUUAGCUAGUUGGUAAGGUAACGGCUUACCAAGGCGACGAUGCGUAGCCGACCUGAGAGGGUGAUCGGCCACACUGGAACUGAGACACGGUCCAGACUCCUACGGGAGGCAGCAGUAGGGAAUCUUCCGCAAUGGGCGAAAGCCUGACGGAGCAACGCCGCGUGAGUGAUGAAGGUCUUCGGAUCGUAAAACUCUGUUAUUAGGGAAGAACAAAUGUGUAAGUAACUAUGCACGUCUUGACGGUACCUAAUCAGAAAGCCACGGCUAACUACGUG